rnacentral:rRNA from 1 species
AGUAACGGCGAGUGAACGGAGAUUAGCCCAACAUCGAAGUCUAUCUACUUUUGUGGACAAGACAAUGUGAUGUUUAGGCAUGCAUCUUGGAUGGCUCGUCUAUUCGAAGUCCAACUCCGAUUAUGGCUUUGGAUUUGUCCCAUAGAGGGUGAAAGACCCGUUCGAGUAGACAAUAUUGUAUUUGGGCCGUCCUUUGAUAUGCGUGCUUUGGAGUCGGAUUGCUUGAGAAUGCAGUCCAAAGUGGGUGGUAAACUCCAUCCAAGGCUAAAUACUGGCACGAGUCCGAUAGUAGACAAGUACCGUGAGGGAAAGUUGAAAAGUACUCUGAAGAGAGAGUAAAUAGUACGUGAAGCCGAUUGAAUGGAAGCUGGUGGAGUCAAGCUUCUUGCAUUUGGAAUUGACACGGAGACUUUGUUGUUCUUAAAGACUGGCAUGAAUAGCUUGCAAACAGCUUGGUGGUUUGCCGCCCAAUGUUGUCUGGGUUGAUGAUUUUUCUUGUGCCUGUUCUCUUUCGUCCCUUGUGUUAUUUCUAUUUGCAUGGAUCAUGGUCAAUGCAUCUGUGGUGUGUAUCAGUUAAACCGAAUCUUUGCAGACUUUUGUUUGUAUGGUUCGGGAUGGCAGGUAGUGGCUUUACUGUUUCGGCUGUUUAGUCACAUAUAGUGGUUUUCCUGCCGACUUUUAUGCCUUUUGGAGACUAUCGGUUGCAUUGCUUGUAUGACGCGGGUCACCCUAAUCGGUUUCCUGUGUGUUUAAGAGCCAUGAUUUUGAAGUAGACUUCCACCGGACCCGUCUUGAAACACGGACCAAGGAGUUUAACUUGCUCGCGAGUCAACGGAUUGUGAACAAGAUCCAAUGGCGUAAUGAAAGUGAACGGUUGCUUCUCGCGGCCGAAGGUGUGAUCUUUGCUUCUCCUGAACUGGGCUGC